UACGUAGGGUCCGAGCGUUUGUCCGGAAUUAUUGGGCGUAAAGGGCUCGUAGGCGGUUUGUCGCGUCGGGAGUGAAAACACGGGGGCUUAAACCCCCGUGCCUGCUUCCGAUACGGGCAGACUAGAGGUAUGCAGGGGAGAACGGAAUUCCUGGUGUAGCGGUGAAAUGCGCAGAUAUCAGGAGGAACACCGGUGGCGAAGGCGGUUCUCUGGGCAUUACCUGACGCUGAGGAGCGAAAGUGUGGGGAGCGAACAGG
rnacentral:rRNA from 1 species